rnacentral:ncRNA from 12 species
GUUGGCUCAGUGGCAGAGCAUUUGCCUAGUAAGCAAAAGGUCGUCGGUUCGAGCCCGAC